CCUACGGGGUGCUGCAGUAGGGAAUUUUCCACAAUGGGCGAAAGCCUGAUGGAGCAACGCCGCGUGGGUGAAGAAGGUCUUCGGAUCGUAAAACCCUGUUGUUAGAGAAGAAAGUGCGUGAGAGUAACUGUUCACGUUUCGACGGUAUCUAACCAGAAAGCCACGGCUAACUACGUGCCAGCAGCCGCGUGAAUACGUAGGUGGCAAGUGUUAUCCGGAUUUAUUGGGCGUAAAGGGAACGCAGGCGGUCUAUUAAGUCUGAUGGGAAAGCCUUCGGCUUAACCGGAGUAGUGCAUUGGAAACUGGGAGACUUGAGUGCAGAAGAGGAGAGUGGAACUCCAUGGGUAGCGGUGAAAUGCGUAGAUAUAUGGAAGAACACCAGUGGCGAAAGCGGCUCUCUGGUCUGUAACUGACGCUGAGGUUCGAAAGCGUGGGUAGCAAACAGGAUUAGAUACCCCAGUAGUC
rnacentral:rRNA from 1 species